CUUUUAUGGAGAGUUUGAUCUUGGCUCAGGACGAACGCUGGCGGCGUGCCUAAUACAUGCAAGUCGAGCGCGGGAA
rnacentral:rRNA from 1 species